CUGGGAAGUAGCUGAAAACUUUAGUGGUCUCCUGUUCAGAAAGGCAAGGGUGUGUGAAACUUAGAGGCAGUCAUAUCUUAUAAGCUCCUGAAGAUACUGUUGGCUUUGUUAGGCAGCACCACACAGGAAGUAUUACUCUUAUUCAUAGUGAUACUGAGGAAUUAAUGAACUUGUCCAUGGAUGCAUAUUAAGUCUCAGCAUUGCCAAGAAUGGUGUUCUUACCUCCUGAAUGUUACUCUGG
rnacentral:lncRNA from 1 species